rnacentral:rRNA from 1 species
GGAUAGGACUAAGACAUGCUAGUCAAGCGCUCGCCAGCCAAAGGUGAGUGCGGCGCACAGCUCAGUAGCACGUGGCUAACCUGCCCUCAGGAUAGGGACAACCCCGGGAAACUGGGGCUAAUCCCCAAUAGGUGAAGUGCUCUGGAAUGAGCCUUCGCCGGAAAGGACGUCUGUGCUAUGCUCGCAGGCUUUGCCUGAGGAUGGGGCCGCGACCGAUCAGGUUGUUGGUGAGGUAAUGGCUCACCAAGCCUUUAACCGGUGCGGGCCGUGAGAGCGGGAGCCCGGAGAUGGGCACUGAGACAAAGGCCCAGGCCCUACGGGGCGCAGCAGUCGCGCAAACUUUGCAAUACACGAAAGUGUGACAGGGCUAUCCCGAGUGCCGUCCGCUGAGGAUGGCUUUUACCUAGUCUAGAACGCUGGGGGAAUAAGGAGAGGGCAAGUCUGGUGUCAGCCGCCGCGGUAAUACCAGCUCUCCGAGUGGUGUGGAUGUUUAUUGGGCCUAAAGCAUCCGUAGCUGGCCAAGUUAGUCCCCUGUUAAGCCCACCGAAUUAAUCGUUGGUUUGCGGGGGAUACUGCUCGGCUAGGGGACGAGAGAGGCAGACGGUAUUUUCGGGGUAGGGGUGAAAUCCUAUAAUCCCGGGAAGACCACCAGUGGCGAAGGCUGUCUGCUAGAACGCGCCCGACGGUGAGGGAUGAAAGCUGGGGGAGCGAACCGGAUUAGAUACCCGGGUAGUCCCAGCUGUAAACGAUGCAGGCUAGGUGUUUGGACGGCCACGUGCCGUUCUAGUGCCGCAGGGAAGCUGUUAAGCCUGCCGCCUGGGGAGUACGGUCGCAAGAUUGAAACUUAAAGGAAUUGGCGGGGGAGCACCACAAGGGGUGAAGCUUGCGGUUUAAUUGGAUUCAACGCCGGG